GCUGGGUGUGAUGGCACGUGCCUGUAAUCCCAGCUACUCGGGAGGCUGAGGCAGGAGAAUCACUUGAACCCGGGAGGCGGAGGUUGCAGUGCACCGAGAUCUCGCCACAGCACUCCAGCCUGGCGACAGAGUGAGACUCCGUAUCAAAAAAAAAAAAGAAAAAAGAAAAAAAUAUAUACCUGGUAUACUGUCCACAGCACCUGUUGAUCAAAGGGGCAAUAAACAGGGACCCUGAAGUCAGUGAGGGUUUUUUGUUUUGUUUUGUUUUUUUGAGACGGAGUCUCAUUCUGUCGCCUGGGCUGGAGUGCAAUGGCGAGAUCUCCGCUCACUGCAACCUCCGCCUCCCGGGUUCAAGUGAUUCUCCUGCCU
rnacentral:SRP_RNA from 1 species